ACCAUGAUGAUGCAGAUGCCCUUGGCAUAGUCGACCCAAUCGACCCGGCCGCCGUGCAUGCGCGGAGCCAGUGUGCCGUUCGCAGUCAUGGUU
rnacentral:tRNA from 1 species